rnacentral:rRNA from 1 species
ACAGAGGGGGCAAGCGUUAUUCGGAAUUAUUGGGCGUAAAGGGCGCGUAGGCGGUUUUUUAAGUCGGAUGUGCAAUCCCUGGGCUCAACCCAGGAACUGCAUCCGAGACUGGAAGGCUAGAGUACUGGAGAGGGUGGUGGAAUUCCUCGUGUAGCGGUGAAAUGCGUAGAGAUGAGGAGGAACACCAGUGGCGAAGGCGACUUUCUGGUCUGUAACUGACGCUGAGGCGCGAAAGCGUGGGGAGCAAACAGGA